AAAACCCUCAAAUAUUCUGCUGGACAGAAAGGGAAAUAUCAAAUUAUGUGACUUUGGCAUCAGCGGACAUCUUGUGGACUCUAUUGCAAAGAGCAGAGAUGCCGGUUGUCGACCAUACAUGGCUCCAGAAAGAAUAGAUCCUAAAGCUUCAAGCAGGGGAUAUGAUGUCAGAUCUGAUGUUUGGAGUUUAGGCAUAACACUGAUGGAGCUAGCCACUGGCAAGUUUCCUUAUCCUAAAUGGCAAAGUGUUUUUGAUCA
rnacentral:sRNA from 1 species